rnacentral:rRNA from 1 species
UACGUAGGGGGCUAGCGUUGUCCGGAAUCAUUGGGCGUAAAGAGCGCGUAGGCGGCCCGGUAAGUCCGCUGUAAAAGUCAAAGGCUCAACCUUUGAAUGUCAGUGGAUACUGCCGGGCUAGAGUCCGGAAGAGGCGAGUGGAACUCCUGGUGUAGCGGUGGAAUGCGCAGAUAUCAGGAAGAACACCGGUGGCGAAGGCGGGUCUCUGGGCCGAUACUGACGCUGAGGAGCGAAAGCGUGGGGAGCGAACAGG